AGUCGAGCGAACGGACGAGAAGCUUGCUUCUCUGAUGUUAGCGGCGGACGGGUGAGUAACACGUGGAUAACCUACCUAUAAGACUGGGAUAACUUCGGGAAACCGGAGCUAAUACCGGAUGAUAUUUUGAACCGCAUGGUUCAAAAGUGAAAGACGGUCUUGCUGUCACUUAUAGAUGGAUCCGCGCUGCAUUAGCUAGUUGGUAAGGUAACGGCUUACCAAGGCAACGAUGCAUAGCCGACCUGAGAGGGUGAUCGGCCACACUGGAACUGAGACACGGUCCAGACUCCUACGGGAGGCAGCAGUAGGGAAUCUUCCGCAAUGGGCGAAAGCCUGACGGAGCAACGCCGCGUGAGUGAUGAAGGUCUUCGGAUCGUAAAACUCUGUUAUUAGGGAAGAACAUAUGUGUAAGUAACUGUGCACAUCUUGACGGUACCUAAUCAGAAAGCCACGGCUAACUACGUGCCAGCAGCCGCGGUAAUACGUAGGUGGCAAGCGUUAUCCGGAAUUAUUGGGCGUGAAGCGCGCGUAGGCGGUUUUUUAAGUCUGAUGUGAAAGCCCACGGCUCAACCGUGGAGGGUCAUUGGAAACUGGAAAACUUGAGUGCAGAAGAGGAAAGUGGAAUUCCAUGUGUAGCGGUGAAAUGCGCAGAGAUAUGGAGGAACACCAGUGGCGAAGGCGACUUUCUGGUCUGUAA
rnacentral:rRNA from 1 species